GACGAACGCUGGCGGCGUGCUUAACACAUGCAAGUCGAACGGAAAGGCCCUGCUUUUGUGGGGUGCCCGAGUGGCGAACGGGUGAGUAACACGUGAGUAACCUGCCCUUGACUUUGGGAUAACUUCAGGAAACUGGGGCUAAUACAGGAUAGGAGCUCCUGCUGCAUGGUGGGGGUUGGAAAGUUUCGGCGGUUGGGGAUGGACUCGCGGCUUAUCAGCUUGUUGGUGGGGUAGUGGCUUACCAAGGCUUUGACGGGUAGCCGGCCUGAGAGGGUGACCGGCCACAUUGGGACUGAGGUACGGCCCAGACUCCUACGGGAGGCAGCAGUGGGGAAUAUUGCACAAUGGGCGGAAGCCUGAUGCAGCAGCGCCGCGUGCGGGAUGACGGCCUUCGGGUUGUAAACCGCUUUCGCCUGUGACGAAGCGUGAGUGACGGUAAUGGGUAAAGAAGCACCGGCUAACUACGUG
rnacentral:rRNA from 1 species